CCGGGCAGGGCGCGGCGGCGCCGCACGUGUUUUGCGGCGACACGCUGUUCUCGUGCGGCUGCGGCCGCCUGUUCGAAGGCACGCCCGCGCAGA
rnacentral:tRNA from 1 species